rnacentral:rRNA from 1 species
UACGGAGGGUGCAAGCGUUGUCCGGAUUUAUUGGGUUUAAAGGGUGCGUAGGUGGCCUUAUAAGUCAGCGGUGAAAGUCUGCAGCUUAACUGUAGAACUGCCAUUGAUACUGUAAGGCUUGAGUACUGAUGAGGUAGGCGGAAUUGAUAGUGUAGCGGUGAAAUGCAUAGAUAUUAUCAAGAACACCGAUUGCGAAGGCAGCUUACUAAGAAGUUACUGACACUGAGGCACGAAAGCGUGGGGAUCAAACAGG